rnacentral:snRNA from 1 species
AGCUUUGCGCAGUGGCAGUAUCGUAGCCAAUGAAGUUUAUCCGAGGCAUGAUUAUUGCUAAUUGAAAACU